UUAAAUAAAGUAAUCAAAAGUAGGUACCUACAUAUGAAAGCAAUUAUUGGACUGAGUGGCUAGAAGUUCUCCAAAAACAUUCUGGGCAUACAUUAGUUGAUUUCUUAGUCCCUACUAUUCCUUAUUGUUAUCUAUAAUUCAGUUAGUCAUAACUCAUAAUCAUAAUAUUGAUACGAAAAAUAAAAAUUUAUUUAUUUAUAAAAAAAUAUAUUAUAAUUUACAACUACUGAAGAAUUACAAAAUGAGUUUUUGUUUAACUAUUUUUAUAAUAGCUGCUGCUGUCAUUGAUAAAUAAAUUGUCCUAUAGUGUUAGUCGUUAAAGUUUUUUUGCUCAAUUGUUUUCCACAGAUAGUUAUACAGAGUUAUUUAUAUCAUACAUACCCGAAUAACUCAUAAAUUGUAUUACAAAAAAAUAUCUUUUUGUUAUGUUUUAAAUAUUUUUCAGUAGAGGGGUGUGGAAUGAAAGCUCCCUAGAGCCCCUUCACUACACUAAUUAAAAUGUUGUUAUAGGGGUUUCCAACUACUCCUUUUCAGAUAUUUUUCUCUGAUUGUACCUAUAAUAGUACAAUAAUGUAUAUAUAUAACGUUCAAUUCGGUUUAGAUGAAUAAACACGUAAGAAAUAGAAACAUUAAAAUAAAUCAUGAUACAAUAUUAUAUAAAAACUUUAUAUUGAUGAACUUUAAAUAUUUUAAUACUUGGCCAUAAAUUUUUAUUACCAAGAACGACGUUUGCUUGCCCUACUCGGUUUUACUCUGCAGCUGUUGUUCGAUAUUAUUCACUAGCUAGGCCUGAUCCCAAUAUCGGGCUCAGUACGGCACGGCACUAUAAUGAUGGACAAAUGAUGCACCACGGGAUUUAAUGACAACAUUAAAAAAAUGUAAGAACUCAAUUUUAUAUUAAUGGAUUGCAAUUAUAUUACACGAAUAAUUUUGUUUAAAUUAUUUCUAUACUUAAUGAAUAUUAUUUCAGUGGGUAGGUAUAUUUAAGAAUUUUUAGGCACAGAUAUCUUAUGGAUUAUUAAUCGCAUCGAAUUUAUACAUAAAAUGCACUAUACGGUAAUAGUAUAAACUGCAUCUUGAUGGCUACUAUAAAAUUAUAGUGAACCGGUUGCCGAGAGGCAACAUAGUCCAGUCCUAAAGUGGUUAUAAUAUUAUAAUAUACCCAGUCGAAUGAUUUAUUCACAACCACGUGUGCUGCAUUAUUAUCGGACCUUCCGGUCGCGAUCUUUCGUACAGAGUAGUGAUGUUAUGCACAUAUGUAUAUAAUACAUACUAAGCUAUAUUGUACCUAUAUACAUAUAACUGUUCAAGUCAAAAGUUGUUUCACGACGGGUCUAGUCGGUCUAGAGAACUGCACGAUUAUAAAAUGGUACGUAUAUAUAAACCAAAAAAAGUACCUGCCAUAUAACGAGAGGUUAUUUGGAUCGAUACACUGCAUGUGAUAGAUAUCGUGUUAUUUUGAAAGUGGCGAAUUCAAACUUUUUGCACUUUUCGAAUGCCGGCUGCAUUAAAAUAAAAAUCAAAGGGUAUGCAUAAUAUUCAAUAAAGACAGAAAACUAAAUAAUGGAUUUUUUCGUACUACGCGCCUUACGCGUUAUACUACAUAUUAUUACACUGAACCUUCACAAACCAUGCUACACAAUUAUCACUAUAACGUUAAAUGUCUUUAAUCAUAAUGCAGAAGUCUAUAAAUGUUUAGAGCUGUAUUAACAGAUGUUUUGAUAGUUCAUUUGAUAAGUACCUACAAUAAAUCAAUUAUUUAAAAUAGACCACUUUUGAUUUUAGAUUAUUGUAAGGGGCAGUUUUAGAAUAAUAUAAGUAAUAUGAGCUUUUUUUUUGGUUUUUUAGAAUUUAUGGAAGAAGUGUUUAUAUUUUUUUAGAAUUUAACAUAUGAUUUUUAUACUAUGAAAAAUAAAAUAUCAAAAAAUAAUUUCUAUAAAGAGAUUAAUGCAAUUUUUUUAUAUUUAUAUUGUAUAUAGUAUAUAGUAAGUAUUGUGAUUGUUAGCUUUAAAAGCUGUAUCUGAAAUAAUAUAAGUGCAUUGGUAAGCUAUUUACUAUAUAGCUAACCGUCUUAUAAACGUGUUACGUAGACAAAUUAAAUUCAGAAGUUAACAUUUAGUUUCAUUAGUUUUAGUACCUAUUAGAAUUAAUUUACGC